rnacentral:rRNA from 1 species
UACGAAGGGUGCAAGCGUUAAUCGGAAUUACUGGGCGUAAAGGGUGGGUAGGCGGUUCGUUAAGUCUGUCGUGAAAUCCCCGGGCUCAACCUGGGAAUGGCGAUGGAUACUGGCGAGCUAGAGUGUGUCAGAGGAUGGUGGAAUUCCCGGUGUAGCGGUGAAAUGCGUAGAGAUCGGGAGGAACAUCAGUGGCGAAGGCGGCCAUCUGGGACAACACUGACGCUGAAGCACGAAAGCGUGGGGAGCAAACAGG